rnacentral:rRNA from 1 species
GACGAACGCUGGCGGCGUGCUUAACACAUGCAAGUCGAGCGGGAAACUUCGGUUUCCAGCGGCGGACGGGUGAGUAACACGUGGGCAACCUGCCUCACAAUGAGGGAUAGCCUUCCGAAAGGAAGAUUAAUACCUCAUAAUACAAGAGAAACGCAUGUUUCUCUUGCCAAGGAAUUUCGUUGUGAGAUGGGCCGGCGGCGCAUUAGCUUUUUGGUGAGGUAACGGCUCACCAAGGCUUCGAUGCGUAGCCGACCUGAGAGGGUGAUCGGCCACAUUGGAACUGCGACACGGUCCAGACGCCUACGGGAGGCAGCAGUGGGGAAUAUUGCACAAUGGAGGAAGCUCUGAUGCAGCAACGCCGCGUGAGUGAUGAAGGUCUUCGGAUUGUAAGCUCUGUCUUCUGGGACGAUAAUGACGGUACCAGAGGAGGAAGCCACGGCUAACUACGUGCCAGCCGCCGCUGUAA